CAGCAGCCACGGUAAUACAGAGGGUGCGAGCGUUAAUCGGAUUUACUGGGCGUAAAGCGUGCGUAGGCGGCUUUUUAAGUCGGAUGUGAAAUCCCUGAGCUUAACUUAGGAAUUGCAUUCGAUACUGGGAAGCUAGAGUAUGGGAGAGGAUGGUAGAAUUCCAGGUGUAGCGGUGAAAUGCGUAGAGAUCUGGAGGAAUACCGAUGGCGAAGGCAGCCAUCUGGCCUAAUACUGACGCUGAGGUACGAAAGCAUGGGGAGCAAACAGGAUUAGAUACCCCGGUAGUCCCUGUCUCUUAUAC
rnacentral:rRNA from 1 species